GUGGAUAUAGCUCAGUGGUAGAGCUCAUGAUUAGCAUGCAUGAGGUCCUGGGUCUAAUCCCCAGUACCUCCA
rfam:Camelus ferus unplaced genomic scaffold scaffold293, whole genome shotgun sequence.